AUUAGAUACCCCGGUAGGUCCACGCCGUAAACGAUGAUCACUAGUAGUAUGAAGAUUCGACCCUUUGUGCUACGAAGCUAACGCGAUAAGUGAUCCGCCUGGGGAGUACGAGCGCAAGCUUAAAACUCAAAGGAAUUGACGGGGACCCGCACAAGCAGAGGAGGAUGUGGUUUAAUUCGAAGCUAAGCGAAGAACCUUACCGAGGCUUGACAUCUCUGGAAUUUUGGCGAAAGCCGAAAGUGCCUUCGGGAACCAGAUGACAGAUGCUGCAUGGCCGUCGUCAGCUCGUGUCGUGAGAUGUUGGGUUAAGUCCCGCAACGAGCGCAACCCUCGUCGUCAGUUGUAUUUUCUGGCGAGACCGCCCGGGCCAACCGGGAGGAAGGUGGGGAUGACGUCUGGUCAGCAUGGCUCUUACGCCUCGGGCUACACACGUCCUACAAUGGCCACUACAACGCGCUGCCAAACCGUAAGGUGGAGCAAAUCGCAUCAAAAGUGGUCUCAGUUCGGAUUGAGGGCUGAAACUCGCCCUCAUGAAGCUGGAUUUGCUAGUAAUGGCAGGUCAGCCAUACUGCCGUGAAUACGUUCCCGGGUCUUGUACACACCGCCCGUCAAAUCACGAAAGUUAGGAGUACCCAAAGUAUCAGCUUGCUGGUCCUAAGGUAAAUCUAGCGAUUGGGGUUAAGUCGUAACAAGGUAAC
rnacentral:rRNA from 1 species